GGAUGUCUGGUCGUACAGGAAAGGGCAGGGGCGACUCCCCACUCUUCAAAACCCUAGAAACUUCACUAAUCUUGCAAAUUGAAGGUCCAAUUCAGUCCAAAAUCGAAAUUUAAGCAUGGAUUAUUGAUCCUCAUCACAAGAGGAUUAAAAGUUUGACUCUGACAAGCUAGGUAGGAGCUUGGAAAUGAACGGGUCAAAUGGAUACAAGUUCAAGUAUGAAGCUCGCAAGGAUGCAAGAUAUCCAAUGGAUACUCGCAUCGCUCUUAAUUAGCAAUUAUAAAGCAAGGUGAAUGUCGAGGGUCCCGGAUGAAGAUCGAGCAUCGAGCAAGAACCGAACACACACUAAAUAAAGCUUCCGCAACGUUGUUUUGUCGUUAUUCUAAACGGUGAUUUAAAUCACAUUAUGUAUAUCACUUAAAUUGUAAAAGUUUUUAAUAAACCCGCAUUUUGUACAGUAUGUGUGGUCUUAACUACACAUCUAAUUGUGGUAUUUUCAUGUAAAAUUGUAAUUUAGUAACUAGGGUGUUACAAGUUGGUAAUCAGAGCUCAUGGUUAAAGAUUAAGGUGUGUUCGGUUCGAGGCUUGAUCGCAAAUCCGGACACUCGCGUCUGAAGAUGACGAGAGUUGAACAAAUUGCGGAUAUGAUGAUGGAACGGUCCGAGAUGUGACAAGAAGAGCAUACUCAUCAAGGACCUAAAUCGCGUAACGAUCGCAAAUAAGUAAUGGCAAGGAAUGCCCGUCGGGGCAAGCAUUACCAGGUGCACAUUUUAAACUUAUAGUACAAAAAGUAAUAUGCAACAAAUACAUAGUGAAUGACAGUUGCAUAUAGAAUAUGAAACUUGGAAAACCUGGAUAGGUUACCUAUCCAGGAUGACGUUUCCAAGAGAAAUUCAGUAGAGAAUAUGUAUUAUUCACAAAUUGUGAAUAACAAGACAAUAACAAAAUUCAGUUUAUAUAGAAACUUGGACGAGAGUGAUCAUCCAAGUAAGUAUUCUCAAUAUAAAUCCUAUUGAGAAAAGUAAUGAUCACAUCAACAAAUGUGAAUAAAUGUUUAUAAAAAGGGACAUUUUACAUGUUCAAGGAUAAACGACUAAAACUAAUAAUUGUUAACUAACAAUUAAAUAAAGUUUUACCAAAUGAAAUCAUAAAUAUGGAAAUAAUUUGAGGAGUUACUUACAUGGGACGUGAUGUGGUAAUUAUAAUAAGGUCACGCGUACCAUGUGUUGAUCGCUUACUCUGGCCAAGUAAGUAGUGAACACAUGAUAGCAUGAGCUUCUUAUAAUGAGCGCAGUUAUGUCCGAUGUAGUAAGGUCAAGAUGAAUGAAAAUUUAAAGGAUCCUUAGGGUCAAGAAAUCUUAUGGGCAUACUCGUAUAAAUGGUUUUCGCGGGAACCAUAAAAACGACGUAUGGCGCACAUAGAAAUAAAUGACCCAAGGAAAUUCGUGACAUAAGUCAUUUCGGACGAAACAACCAUGGUAGACAAAAAGGGCAUUGUAAAACCAAAGUAUAAAUGACCCGCGGGGUCAUAGAAACAAAGGUAUUGCCCACAUGGAAAAACGAUCAAAGUCGUUGACUUUGGUCGUAGUAAAGAAAUGAUGAUGAUGAUGAUAAUCAUCAUUCAUAGUUUAUAAGACUGUCAAGGAUGGUCGAAUAAAGAAUAAAGGUUUGGUUGAAUAAAAGUGAUGGAUUUCGCUAAGACAACCAAACAAAUUAAAACGAAAUCUUAAUGUAUACCGGAAUGCUUGCACUAAUAAUGACUUCGGUAAAGUACCCGGUUGAUGGGUAAGGAUUUAAACACAUGCGUAAACCGAGAAAUGGGAACACGAAUUUAAAGUCAAAAGACUCGGAUUAUGAGUUAUGACUGAAAGACCAUAAAAUUUUGCAAACAGAAAUUUUGAUAAUUAUAUUCAACUAUUUUGAGGUUGAACGGGUUGAAUAAAGUAUAAUGCUUGAUGGCAUAAGUAAGCGCAAGCCGGAUAACAGUAAGCUUGAGACAAACCGAUGCUUAAUUGACGUGAGAAGUCAUAGAGUCGGAAGAAUUAUCCAAAAGAAAACGAUUGUAGACACGAACUACAGUCAAAGUUAACGGAUUUCAAGCAUGAAAACAAAUGAUUUUCAAACAAAAAAAAGUGCUUUGACACCAAAUAUAUAUUUUAAUAAAGAUACGAGUAAAAAGAAUGAUCUACGGGAUCAUCAUAACCUUUAGGUUAUAAACAGUGUAAAGGUCUACGGGACCAAAAUGACCUACGGGUCAUGAAUAAAAAGGAAAAAGGAUCAUAAAGGACUCGCCUUAAAGAGGUGAGAGCCUAAAGAAAUAGCCUACGAGGCUAAGUGAAUGAACCUAUGGGUUAUCUAGACAUAGCGAGGGAACUGGUUGAGAAUCCCCGCGUAAAAUAAGAAUGAAAAAGAAUAAAUUCUUAAUUGUCAAUUUCUUGAUAUGAGUAAUUGACGAAAGUUAAAGAGAAGACGUUAAAUUAAACUUCAAGUUUUAGUGAGAAACAACGUUUUAACAAAUAUGAAUACUACAAGACGAUUUUGGAAAUAAAAAAAAUAUAUCAAAGAGUAUGGGUCUUAACAUCGAUAGGUUCAAGACGAUAUAUUCGAAAAAGUGGUAUUUUCGAAAAUGAAAGGUUGAUAUAAAUUAAACAUGACGUGACACGAUCACGGUUAAGAAAUGCAAUGUGAAGUGGAAUCACAUUAUCACCAGGCGAGCGGUAAAAAGCAACUGGACUAAUAAGUCUAGUUAGUGAGAUCGGUUAAGGAAAUUUAAGUAAGUUGGUUGCUUGUAAGCGGUGGAUUCAGUAUAACUGAACCGAAUAAAUGAAUUGGAAAAAAAAAGAAAUAGUUGCUAAAAGAGAAAGAUUUCACUAAAGACCUUUAAACGGAUCAAGGUAACGGAUUCACAAAGAGUUCGAUAAUAUAUGAAAGCGAUGGAUAUCGCUAAGUUAACUAACUAGUGGAAAUAACAAGAUUACGUUAUUUCAAGUUGCACUAUGUCGUAUGAGAUAUGUAGACAAUUAGUGACCAAAAAGAUGUUACCAUACCUAUAUGGUAAUACGAACAAUUGGUUAAAAGUAUAAGUAAUGUUUAAAAGAUAUCUCGUAAAAAAAAUACGUUGAGUUUAAACUCAAUGAGUUAUGUAAGAAAAGGUUUCGAGGAAGAAACCUCUUUAAGGGGGUAGACUUGUAACACCCCGAAAACGGGUUUGGUAAUCAAACCACGUUUAUACUAAAAGACGGGUAAAUUACCUUUAGUGGUAAAAGUAACCCGGCGAAUAUUAGGAUUCUUGAAUAAACAAGAACUUACUAACUAGGAAUUUUAACCUAGUUAGCUAAUAUUCUAGAAGUAACUUAUGAUAGGGUUAAAAACAACCAAAACUAUAUGUCAAACAAAAGAUGAGGGGCCUAAGUUGUAAGAAAUUGAAAUUAUAUUACUAAUUUUAAUAAAAAUCAAAACCAAACACCCAUUAAGGAUGUCUGGUCGUACAGGAAAGGGCAGGGGCGACUCCCCACUCUUCAAAACCCUAGAACUUCACUAAUCUUGCAAAUUGAAGGUCCAAUUCAGUCCAAAAUCGAAAUUUAAGCAUGGAUUAUUGAUCCUCAUCACAAGAGGAUUAAAAGGUAUGUAAAAUUUAAUGAAAAAUCUCUAGUUGGAUUUCUAGGUAAACUUAGAAAUCUGAAAUUUAUGGUUGCAUGUUCGUUAUAUGAUGAAAUUAGGAAUGAUUUUAUGUCUAGGAGUAAACCCUAGUCAUUUACUUGUUGAAUUGAUGUUCCUAAUUGUGAAUUCAUGAUCACCCGAUUAUGUGCUAAAUGGGUUUUGUAGAAACAUGAUGAACACUAGAAUCAUAAUGGUUAAAUUGUGUUAAUAGAACUCACUGAAGUUAGAUUUGAAGUUUGAUGUUAGUACUUGUUAAUUUUGCUAGAAUUUAAGGGUUUAGAACACUUAAAUGGGCUGGAGAAAUUUGAUGUUUCGUGUUGCACACAAGGUGCUUGUUAAAAUGCUUGAACAAGAAAAUAUAACAAAGCCGAUUGGAAAUAAAAUUAUUGGGCUGCAGUUUUAAAAAAAUCAUAUAAAAUUACUGGAACGGCCUGUGAGGUUGAGCCUUAUAUGCUCAGAAAGCUAUUAAAACAUACUACGUUUAAUGUUUGAACAUGUUUGUUAAAUUCUGAUGUUAAACGGGUCAAAACAGUGUCCGAAGUAGGCUGAACUGUUUUGACAGCAAGCUGAUUGGAAAAAAAAAAUUGUUGGGCUGCAGUUUUUAAAAAAUCAUAUAAAAUCACUGGAACAUCCUGUGAGGUUGAGCCUUAUAUGCUCAGAAAGCUAUUAAAACAUACUACGUUUUAUGUUUGGACAUGUUUGUUAAAUUCUGAUGUUAAACGGGUCAAAACAGUGUCCGAAGUCGGCUGAACUGUUUUGACAGCAAGCUGACAGGAAGCAUUUUUUUUUACUUCAGAGCUGAUUUUGUAAAAAUCAUAUAAAAUCAUAGGAACAUCGUUAGAAAACGUACCAUAUAUGCCUAGAAAGCUAUUUCAGAGUUUUACGAUCCGUUUUUGAACAUGUUGAUCUAAUUCAACUUUUAAAUGGGUCAAAAUGGUCAAUUACAGCAGCUGAAUACAAAAUCGCUGCACUUUAGUAAUGUUCUUAUUAACCAAGAAAAAGACAUAUGAUUGCGUAUACUUGUUUAGUCAUGAAGCAUUUAUUGUUAGGAACAAGUAACACUUUAUAUGACAUGCUUAAAGUGUUCAAAAUCACUUACUAACUAGUUUGUAUAAAUAAUUUGACUAACGGGUCAAACGGUUAGUGAAUGGAAAGAAUUAUGACAAAAAAAUAAAUAAGUAAAUAAUAUAGUUGUUGAAUAAAUAGCAUACUUUGGUGAAUAAGUGUGUGAAUCCAUAAGGUGUGAUGGUCAUGUUAAUGGUUGACUAAUCUAAUCAUCUUGUGGAUAUGAUAUGGUAGUUUGACUCUGACAAGCUAGGUAGGAGCUUGGAAAUGAACGGGUCAAAUGGAUACAAGUUCAAGUAUGAAGCUCGCAAGGAUGCAAGGUAAGUAUAACUUACACUAGUCAUAUAUUUUAAAAUGUUCUUUUGUCAUAUUGACUACGAAUAAGACAAAUGGUAAUUUAGUCACACGUUGACAAUAAUCGUUAGUUUUAAAAGACGCUUUCCCGCGAAAGACAUAAAGAGCCGAAAAUGGUAAUAAACGGUUUAUAAAUAAAAUGAGCAUACGGUGUUAAAAGGAGCGAGUCAUGUAGAUGAGAUGAUAAUAAAUAUUAUCUCGCAAAGAUAAACGGUCAAUUCGGCCAAACGGGUCAAAAGGUGUAGACAUCACCUUUUGACGAUAUCGACUAAUGAUUCUGGUGUCGAGUUAUAUGUUUACAGGAGUAGAUAUCCAAUGGAUACUCGCAUCGCUCUUAAUUAGCAAUUAUAAAGCAAGGUAUUAAACCGGGUUAGUAAGUUGAUCCGAGCCAGGUAUGUAUAAUAGAUUAACUUAUCAUGUAGAACUUGAAGUUCUAUGAAAGUUAGGCAAAAUAAAAAAAAAAAAAAAAAGGCAUUCGGUUACCUUAAUAGGUAAACCGAAGGAUUUAAAUUAUUUAGACAGAAUGUUUUGAAAACAAGAUUUGGUUAAAAAUGAGAAAUUAGAAUCAAACAACAGGUUUGUUUGAUAAAAUCACGAACGGGUCAAAUUUGGUAAAAAGGGUUAAUAAGCCGAAGACUUAAAAGUCUUAAAAUUUUGUUAAUCCAGAUGUUGGGUCUUGACUCCAUUUGAUGGAGGUUCAAUUUACAAUCACGUAGGAAGAAACGGUAGGUCAAACAGACGAGCGGUUUGAAAGAUACGAAAGUUUUCGUGUCAAAAACGGCAAAAAGGAAAGGAAUGAUGCAGGGGCCACCGUAACUUACGGUGCCACCGUAAGUUACGGUGGACAUGAUUUGGUUACGGUAAAUGCCUACUGUUGUACGGUUGAAUAAUUGAAACACAGAGACCACCGUAACUUACGGUGCCACCGUAAGUUACGGUGGAGGUCAGAAAUGAGUUUUUAUUUUGGGUUUAAGAUAUCCAUGUGGGAUUUUCCUAAUUUCCCCAUUGUAUUAGUUUAAUUAAUUAUCAAAACUGACCUUUAAGUUGGUUUUGAUCACAGGUGAAUGUUGAGGGUCCCGGAUGAAGAUCGAGCAUCGAGCAAGAACCGAACACACACUAAAUAAAGCUUCCGCAACGUUGUUUUGUCGUUAUUCUAAACGGUGAUUUAAAUCACAUUAUGUAUAUCACUUAAAUUGUAAAAGUUUUUAAUAAACCCGCAUUUUGUACAGUAUGUGUGGUCUUAACUACACAUCUAAUUGUGGUAUUUUCAUGUAAAAUUGUAAUUUAGUAACUAGGGUGUUACAAGUUGGUAAUCAGAGCUCAUGGUUAAAGAUUAAGGUGUGUUCGGUUCGAGGCUUGAUCGCAAAUCCGGUAAGUACGUGUAUGUUAAUAGCUUAGCAUGCUAAAGUGUUGUAAACAACACAUAGGGCUAUCGUGUGAUACACGUUACCCCAAUUAAAAUGAUUAAUAUGGUUGACGAAAAUACGCGCGUUGACGCGUAUAGUAAAAAAAAAAAAAAAAAAAAAAAAAGCCUUAUAUUAUAAUACGGGCGAUUAUUGAAGUUGAAAUUACUAACUCUUGUGAAUGUUUUAAUUGAAGGACACUCGCGUCUGAAGAUGACGAGAGUUGAACAAAUUGCGGAUAUGAUGAUGGAACGGUCCGAGAUGUGACAAGAAGAGCAUACUCAUCAAGGACCUAAAUCGCGUAACGAUCGCAAAUAAGUAAUGGCAAGGAAUGCCCGUCGGGGCAAGCAUUACCAGGUGCACAUUUUAAACUUAUAGUACAAAAAGUAAUAUGCAACAAAUACAUAGUGAAUGACAGUUGCAUAUAGAAUAUGAAACUUGGAAAACCUGGAUAGGUUACCUAUCCAGGAUGACGUUUCCAAGAGAAAUUCAGUAGAGAAUAUGUAUUAUUCACAAAUUGUGAAUAACAAGACAAUAACAAAAUUCAGUUUAUAUAGAAACUUGGACGAGAGUGAUCAUCCAAGUAAGUAUUCUCAAUAUAAAUCCUAUUGAGAAAAGUAAUGAUCACAUCAACAAAUGUAAAUAAAUGUUUAUAAAAAGGGACAUUUUACAUGUUCAAGGAUAAACGACUAAAACUAAUAAUUGUUAACUAACAAUUAAAUAAAGUUUUACCAAAUGAAAUCAUAAAUAUGGAAAUAAUUUGAGGAGUUACUUACAUGGGACGUGAUGUGGUAAUUAUAAUAAGGUCACGCGUACCAUGUGUUGAUCGCUUACUCUGGCCAAGUAAGUAGUGAACACAUGAUAGCAUGAGCUUCUUAUAAUGAGCGCAGUUAUGUCCGAUGUAGUAAGGUCAAGAUGAAUGAAAAUUUAAAGGAUCCUUAGGGUCAAGAAAUCUUAUGGGCAUACUCGUAUAAAUGGUUUUCGCGGGAACCAUAAAAACGACGUAUGGCGCACAUAGAAAUAAAUGACCCAAGGAAAUUCGUGACAUAAGUCAUUUCGGACGAAACAACCAUGGUAGACAAAAAGGGCAUUGUAAAACCAAAGUAUAAAUGACCCGCGGGGUCAUAGAAACAAAGGUAUUGCCCACAUGGAAAAACGAUCAAAGUCGUUGACUUUGGUCGUAGUAAAGAAAUGAUGAUGAUGAUGAUAAUCAUCAUUCAUAGUUUAUAAGACUGUCAAGGAUGGUCGAAUAAAGAAUAAAGGUUUGGUUGAAUAAAAGCGAUGGAUUUCGCUAAGACAACCAAACAAAUUAAAACGAAAUCUUAAUGUAUACCGGAAUGCUUGCACUAAUAAUGACUUCGGUAAAGUACCCGGUUGAUGGGUAAGGAUUUAAACACAUGCGUAAACCGAGAAACGGGAACACGAAUUUAAAGUCAAAAGACUCGGAUUAUGAGUUAUGACUGAAAGACCAUAAAAUUUUGCAAACAGAAAUUUUGAUAAUUAUAUUCAACUAUUUUGAGGUUGAACGGGUUGAAUAAAGUAUAAUGCUUGAUGGCAUAAGUAAGCGCAAGCCGGAUAACAGUAAGCUUGAGACAAACCGAUGCUUAAUUGACGUGAGAAGUCAUAGAGUCGGAAGAAUUAUCCGAAAGAAAACGAUUGUAGACACGAACUACAGUCAAAGUUAACGGAUUUCAAGCAUGAAAACAAAUGAUUUUCAAACAAAAAAAAAAGUGCUUUGACACCAAAUAUAUAUUUUAAUAAAGAUACGAGUAAAAAGAAUGAUCUACGGGAUCAUCAUAACCUUCAGGUUAUAAACAGUGUAAAGGUCUACGGGACCAAAAUGACCUACGGGUCAUGAAUAAAAAGGAAAAAGGAUCAUAAAGGACUCGCCUUAAAGAGGUGAGAGCCUAAAGAAAUAGCCUACGAGGCUAAGUGAAUGAACCUAUGGGUUAUCUAGACAUAGCGAGGGAACUGGUUGAGAAUCCCCGCGUAAAAUAAGAAUGAAAAAGAAUAAAUUCUUAAUUGUCAAUUUCUUGAUAUGAGUAAUUGACGAAAGUUAAAGAGAAGACGUUAAAUUAAACUUCAAGUUUUAGUGAGAAACAACGUUUUAACAAAUAUGAAUACUACAAGACGAUU
rnacentral:lncRNA from 1 species